rnacentral:lncRNA from 10 species
GGAGGUCGCGGGGCCGGGAGGCGCGAGGUUGUUCGAGAAGCUGAAAUAGAAAUCAAUUUCUUGAUUUCAGUAGGAAUAGUGAGUCCCUAAGAGGGGAGAAGCCAGGUUUCAUUUCCUGAGCUGUGGAAUGCUUGCUUUUGGGACAAUAUCUCUUGGAAUGCAGCUGCCAUACUCUGAGAAUCUGAAGCCAUAGGGAAGACCACAUGUAGAUGCUCCAGUUGACAAACCCAGCUGAGCUCCAAGUUGACAGCCAUCAUUAGUCACAAACCACAUGAAGGCAUCAUGGCUGUUUAACUCAGUUGUAACUUGUAAUGACUCUAGGCCCAACUACCAUC